rnacentral:lncRNA from 1 species
CUUUCUACCAGGGACCAAAUAAUGAAGAACUAGCAACUAAACAUUUAUUUUGUUUAAUUUGUCAGUUAUUAACCAGAAUAAUUCAGUUGUAUAUUCCGCUGAUCUACGAUUACUACAUUAACGCCCUGAAUGCAUAGACAAUGAAAAAUCUUAAGUCAAUCAUUCGGAAUUAGUUUGGGAUUUACCUAUCUCGAUAAAAUUGAGCUGAUUGCUGAUUAGUCACCUCUUCUACAGGACACCAAUCAAAAUCCAGGAUUCGUGAAGAGUUUUUAUCGUGUUAGGAAUUCAGGCCCUCGCAAGUAGGAGAGAUUGAUUACGGGGAGGGACUGAAUUAUUAGGGUUA